rnacentral:rRNA from 1 species
UACGUAGGGUGCGAGCGUUGUCCGGAAUUAUUGGGCGUAAAGGGCUCGUAGGCGGUUUGUCGCGUCGGGCGUGAAAAUCCAGGGCUUAACUCUGGACUGGCUUCCGAUACGGGCAGACUAGAGGUAUGCAGGGGAGAACGGAAUUCCUGGUGUAGCGGUGAAAUGCGCAGAUAUCAGGAGGAACACCAAUGGCGAAGGCAGCUCGCUGGAACGGUACUGACGCUGAGGCGCGAAAGCGUGGGGAGCAAACAGG